UACAGAGGUCCCAAGCGUUGUUCGGAUUCACUGGGCGUAAAGGGUGCGUAGGUGGUGGGGUAAGUCGGAUGUGAAAGCUCGGAGCUCAACUCCGAAAUGGCAUUGGAAACUACCCUGCUAGAGGAUUGGAGGGGGGACUGGAAUACUUGGUGUAGCAGUGAAAUGCGUAGAUAUCAGGAGGAAUACCGGUGGCGAAAGCGACUCUCUGGACGGUAACUGACGCUGAGGCGCGAAAGCGUGGGGAGCGAACAGG
rnacentral:rRNA from 1 species